GCCAGGCGUGGUGGCACAUGCCUGUAAUCCCAGUGGCUCAGGAGGCUGAGGCAGGAGGACUGUGAGUUCAAAGCCAGCCUCAGCAAAAGCAAGGCGCUAAGCAACUUUGCGAGACCCUAUCUCUA
rnacentral:sRNA from 1 species